rnacentral:rRNA from 1 species
CCUACGGGAGGCAGCAGUGGGGAAUAUUGCACAAUGGCGGAGACGCUGAUGCAGCGACGCCGCGUGAGCGAUGAAUUAUUUCUGGAUUGUAAACUCUAUCAGCCGGGGAGAAAAUGCAGGUACCUGACUAAGAAGCCGCGGCUAACUACGUGUCAGCAGCCGCGGUAAUACGUAGGGGGCAGGCGUAAUCCGGAUUAACUGGGCGUAAAGGGGACGUAGACGGCGGUGCAAGCCAGAUGUGAAAGCCCGGGGCUCAACCCCGGGACUGCAUUUGGAACUGGGCUGCUAGAGUGUCGUAGAGGCAGGGGGAAUUCCUAGUGUAGCGGUGAAAUGCGUAGAUAUUAGGAGGAACAUCAGUGGCGAAGGCGGUCUGCUGGACGAUGACUGACGUUGAGGAUCGAAAGCGGGGGGAGCAAAUAGGAUUAGAUACCCGAGUAGUC